GACGAACGCUGGCGGCGCGCCUAACACAUGCAAGUCGAACGAGCGAGAGAGAGCUUGCUUUCUUGAGCGAGUGGCGAACGGGUGAGUAACGCGUGAGGAACCUGCCUCAAAGAGGGGGACAACAGUUGGAAACGACUGCUAAUACCGCAUAAGCCCACGGUGCCGCAUGGCACAGAGGGAAAAGGAGCAAUCCGCUUCGAGAUGGCCUCACGUCCGAUUAGCUAGUUGGUGAGGUAACGGCCCACCAAGGCGACGAUCGGUAGCCGGACUGAGAGGUUGAACGGCCACAUUGGGACUGAGACACGGCCCAGACUCCUACGGGAGGCAGCAGUGGGGAAUAUUGCACAAUGGGGGAAACCCUGAUGCAGCGACGCCGCGUGGAGGAAGAAGGUCUUCGGAUUGUAAACUCCUGUUGUUGGGGAAGAUAAUGACGGUACCCAACAAGGAAGUGACGGCUAACUACGUG
rnacentral:rRNA from 1 species